GACGAACGCUGGCGGCGUGCCUAACACAUGCAAGUCGAACGGAACUUACCGAAUGAAGUCUUCGGAUGGAUUUUGGUAAGUUUAGUGGCGGACGGGUGAGUAACGCGUGAGUAACCUGCCUUCAAGAGGGGAAUAACGUUCUGAAAAGAACGCUAAUACCGCAUAACAUACGGAUGUCGCAUGGCAACCGUAUCAAAGAUUUUAUCGCUUGAAGAUGGACUCGCGUCCGAUUAGCCAGUUGGCGGGGUAACGGCCCACCAAAGCGACGAUCGGUAGCCGGACUGAGAGGUUGAACGGCCACAUUGGGACUGAGACACGGCCCAG
rnacentral:rRNA from 1 species